GACGAACGCUGGCGGCGUGCUUAACACAUGCAAGUCGAACGGUGAAGCGAGUGCUUGCACUCGUGGAUCAGUGGCGAACGGGUGAGUAACACGUGAGUAACCUGCCCAUCACUCUGGGAUAAGCACUGGAAACGGUGUCUAAUACUGGAUACGACCAACCCUUGCAUGGGGUGUUGGUGGAAAGAUUUAUCGGUGAUGGAUGGACUCGCGGCCUACCAGCUUGUUGGCGGGGUAAUGGCCCACCAAGGCGACGACGGGUAGCCGGCCUGAGAGGGUGACCGGCCACACUGGGACUGAGACACGGCCCAGACUCCUACGGGAGGCAGCAGUGGGGAAUAUUGCACAAUGGGCGAAAGCCUGAUGCAGCGACGCCGCGUGAGGGAUGACGGCCUUCGGGUUGUAAACCUCUUUCAGCAGGGAAGAAGCGAAAGUGACGGUACCUGCAGAAGAAGCACCGGCUAACUACGUG
rnacentral:rRNA from 1 species